UACGUAGGGGGCAAGCGUUGUUCGGAAUUACUGGGCGUAAAGGGCGCGUAGGCGGCGCGGUAAGUCGGGAGUGAAAGCCCGGGGCUCAACCCCGGAACGUCUUUCGAAACUGCCGAGCUAGAGUGCGGAAGAGGCAACUGGAAUUCCCAGUGUAGCGGUGAAAUGCGCAGAUAUCGGGAGGAACACCGGUGGCGAAGGCGGUUCUCUGGGCCUACCUGACGCUGAGGAGCGAAAGCGUGGGGAGCGAACAGG
rnacentral:rRNA from 1 species